rnacentral:lncRNA from 1 species
CGGAGGGGGUGGUCUGGACUGGGCCUCAUCUCUUCUUUACCAGAUGCCAAGCCCUGGGCUAGGGGAGUGGGCAUGUGGUAUGGGGCCCCAUUUCCGGUCCCUGAGGGACACAGUUCACAGACGAGAAGAGACGCUUACAGAGAGAACAAACUAGAAGUCAGAUGUUUUUACAGAUGGUGUGGGAGACAGAGCCAUUGCCGCCCAGAGGCUUUUGUGGUUCACCACCUUUGGCUUCUCAGGGGAAACAGUCUACAGCAUGGCUUCAGGGAUGAUCCCAGAGACCAAGCCAACAAAGCUAUAGAGGAAGACCUGGUUGCAUGGUUAGCAGAAUCUCCCGCCCCUCGCCUGGACAGUGGUGGAUGGUCCGUGCUUCUCAUCAGGAAGCCAGUUCUAACAAGAAACCAGAGCCGCACCACAUCACCUCUCGACCCUGCGGAGUAGCAUUCACUGAUAUGCCUGGUAACAAUAUGCUCGCCGGAGUUUAUGUCAAGCUAUAGAGAAGAGGACAUCCUCCCAAAUGGUGUAGGGUGCAGGCAGUCAAUUGUUCUAAAACAGGGAGAGUUGGCUCCAGGGCCACUUGCUUGAAACCAUCCUAGCUGGAAAUCAGCAGAAAUGAGAGAAAACUCCUAGCAGACUUGUGGGGCACCAGAAGCCCAGCUCCCUCCCUCCGGGUCUCACAGUUUCUGUUACUCGCAGCCAAAUGUACCCCAUACAGCACAAGGCCAUAAAAUAAGAGAAAGAGCCGAGGCUGCCCCGGGGCUGUGUGCAUGUGUACAGCCGGCAGAAGAGGGAGAAGCUCUGAGCACAGCUGCCUCUGGAAUUUGUCCCCGGAGAGGGAUCUAACUCUACAUUGGGCUUUCCACAAACCGCUCCAGUGGCAGAAAAAGGCAAGAGAAUUUUUAGCCUGGUUAUAUAAAGUGUUUCUUGGCCCCAGGCACAGACUGGAGCUAGGAUUUGAGGAUUUGAACUAACUCACUCUCUCUCUCUCUUCUCUCUCUCUCUUCUCUCUUCUCUCUCUCUCUUCUCUCUCACUGUCUCCUCUCUCACUCUCUUCUCUCCCUUCUCUGUUCUCCACCCUCUACUCCUGCAGCACCCCCCCUCCCCCUUUGUCACAGAAGCAGAAUCUGCCUUCAAACACCUCCUGUCCCCAUGGGCUGUAUGGACUGGGCCCUGCCCUCAGGCCUCUGACCUUGAUGGUGGUUUUUCCCUUCCAGAUGGCCACAGGCCACCAUUUAAUUAAUGGAGUAAAUGUAAUUUAAUUAGCUGUUUCAACACUCACUCCACACUUCGGGCCAUUAGAUCCACAUUCCCUUGGAUGUGCUGUGGGGCUUUCUCCGCCCUCUGACCUGACUAGACCAGACAGAUCUUUGAUUCUUCCAUCUCCUCAACUUCCAAAGUCAACUUUUUUAGUGGAAAACAAAAGGAAAUUACUGAAGAGACACCAAGUUGCUCAUGGGAUCUACGGGAAAAGCUGGCUCAGGGGAAGGUGGAGUUGAGGACAGGUUGUGGCUCCUGGCGUGGACAAUGUGCCUUAUGGGAAACCGUGGCCGUAAGGGAUAGGGGUGCUCGCUGGGCAGCCCGGCACUGCUACUGCUCACCAACAAGUCGUUUCAGCUGUGCCCUGUGUGACACUUGUGUGUCCCUGACAUGAAGGAGGUGCCUGAGAAACUGAGGUAGGGACAGGUGUGCUUCCACAGCUGGCCAGCUGGGACCAAUGUCAGGUUCCCACUUAAGACAGACCUGCCUUCCUGCUCACCAGCUAAGAAAGGGGACUGAAUAGUAAGAGUUAGAAACCCAGCAAACCGGGUGUUAUCAUUUCCACAGAGGUGGUCUCUGCUUAAAUUCCAAGAGCUGAGCCUGGCAGUGGUGGCACACACCUUUAAUCCCAGCACUUGGGAGGCAGAGGCAGGCAGAUUUCUGAGUUCAAGGCCAGCCUGGUCUACAGAGGGAGUCCCAGGAGAGCCAGGGCUACACAGAGAAACCCUGUCUCGAAAAUACAAAACAAAACAAAAUUCCAAGAGCUGUUACUGGCUUCCCCACUGUGGUAGAUCAGAGAAGGGCUCUGUGUUUUUGUCUGUUAUUAUCUCCAGGCUUGGUGGGCAUGGUGACAACAGGACAAUGUUGUAACCGUGAGUCCUUGCAAGCCAGGCUUCUGGAGCCUUACCAACUUCAGGGCCCGGCAGAGGCAGGCUGAGCCUGCCCGGUAUCAAGCACUGUGGGCCUGCUUGGCAUGGGUUUCAGCGCAAGAGGGGACCCCUAUGGAGACAGUGGAAGCCACAGCAGGCCAGUUUCUCACUAGAAGCACGGGUGUGGCAGGAAUAUGUGUUUCCUGUUGCCUCAGGGUGUGGUGGUAGUGUGAGGAUGCUGGCUACCGCCCACAAUUGAGGUACUGGAGCCCACUGCGGUAAACUUGGGGCCGCUGUGCGCACUCAACCCACAUCUGGGCAUGCUCACAGAGCCUCCUGAUGGUGGCAAAGGUCUCCUCCAUCAGACUGUCAGUCCCUGAACCUGAGGCCAUCUCCCCUCUCACUAGAGGCUCCUAAGGGUUAAGGGAAGCUUCCUCUUACAUAGCCAGAGCUUCUGUGUACAAAGGUCUCCCACUGGCUACUGAGGAUUCUGAGCACUCCUUCCUCCCGGUUAGAGGGUAGGGAAGCCAUGGGGCGCACACUAGGUUCAGACAUGAAGGGUGGGGCCGGCAGAACUGGGAGGAACCGGUUUAUCCUGAAGGAGGUUGAGCGAGGAGUUAGGACUUGCUGAGGUAAUCCUCCAGGGGGGCCAUCCCCUCCACCGGAGGAUGAGGUGUGACCAAAGGAAUGUAGUGCCUAGGGGUAGCCCUGCUGGCCCAGGCUCAGCCCCAGGAAACGGUUGCCAGGCCCGCCCCUUGGAGGCUCCAGCCCCGCCCCUUGGAGGCUCCAGCCCCGCCCCUUGGAGGCUCCAGCCCCGCCCCUUGGAGGCUCCAGCGUUGUUCUACUUGGAGGUUUUGAGUACUUGGCCCCUGCUCCUGGUUAUUGUCUCAUCCUACAGAGGCUGACAGAUGUGCACAGCUGGAUGGGGGCGCUCAGCAAAAUCCAGAUGCCUCACCACAGGCCUGAGCCAUAGAGCUGGGCUCUGGGUGCUAGUCCCAGCACCAUCAACCUCCAUGGGUCUUAGUUUCCCUAUCUGUCCAGAGGGAGGGUGCCUUCAUUCUUCCCUCAGACACUAACUGGGGUUUCCUUGGUCUUCUGGCCUUAUUAUUUGGGGUGCAUGGUUUGAUUUUGUAUACUUCUCCUCUCUAAUUUACAUUAAAAAACCAAUUGUUUUAUUUUCAUUUGUGUGUACGUAUUUGUGUGUGCGCAUGCAUGUGCAUGCCAUGCGAGUGUGGGUACCUGCAAAGUCUGGAAGAGGGCAUCAGAUCCGCUGGGGUGGGAGUUCCUUGAAUCCCGUGACAUGGAUGCUGGGAACUGAACCAGGGUCCUCUGGAAGAGAAGCAAACACUUAGCCAGGGAGCCACUGCUCUGCAGCUCCAUGCCAGUCUCUUCAGAGGCUGAGCUCACAAGCCUGGCUAGGAAAAUGAGCUUCAGUUUCACGCUCACUGACGUUUCCGCCCGCUCUGCUGGUCUUUAAGCUGCAGCUGCACUUUUUUGGAUUAAGUUAUUGGGUUCCAUUGUCUACCACUCCUCUGCACCCAAAUCCCUUCGAACCCCCAACACUCGGUAGGAGAGAAAGAGGGUGACAGGGGAAAGGGACACAGGUCUUUUUAGAUUACUUCCUGAUGACUAGGGAUAUCGAAUUCUUUGGGGCAAAUCGAGUCUUCUUCAUCAGACUAUCCAGCAACCCAACAAUAACAAAAGUGGUAGGGAUCACAACAGCAGAGACCAGCAGCUGUCCCAGGCUCUCGACUUUAUACCCUCUUAAGAGUCCCCAGAAUGCCAAAUGCAAAUUAUCUGCAGCUGGCAAAAAUCACGUCCCUUCUAGAACAUGAGAUAAAUCAUUGCGGCUGUGGACAAUCUGAAGCAGCCCCAUGCCCCAACCCCUGGACCAGAACAAAACAUAAUCACAUAGCAUAACUGGGUUUUUAUAAGGAAACCAAAAUCCUCACUACAUUAAGGAGACACACAUUUCUAGCCUAUACCGUCUCUGUUCCUUUAACAGCUUACUUUAGUCUUCUUGCAAGGCAGGUUUACCGGCAGUAAAUUCCACUAUUUUUAUCUUUUGCAGAAAUCCUUAUUUCUUCACUUUGUGCAUAUGCCUGUGUGAUGUGUGUGCAUGGUGCACACAUUUGUGUGUGUGAGUGUGGCUGCACACCUGACGUGAUGUGAGAGUGGAGGUCAGAGGUCAGUCUUCCUCCUACCUUGUUUGAAACUGGGAUUCUUUUUGUCCUUUAGCACUGUGUAGCCCAGGCUAGCUGGUCUGCAAACUCUGGGGCUUUCUCCUCUCACCAUAGGGGUGCCAGGGUCCCAGAGGUGCACUUCUGUGCAUGGCAUUACAUCGGUUCUGAGGAUUCAGACUUGGGACUUCAGUUUACCCAUCAUGCAUCUCUCUCUUCAGCCCAUCUUUCAUAUUUAAGGGCAAGUUCAUGAGGUGCAGACUUCUUGGUUGGUGGGGCCUUUUCUUUGAUCACAUUAAAAAUUCACACAAAUGUGAAUGCUUGAGACAACCUUGAGACAGGGUUUCUCUGUGUAGCCCUGGCUGUCCUGAAACUCACUCUGUAGUCCAGGCUGGCUUCCAACUCAGAGAUCUACCUGCCUCU